GGGCACAUAGCUCAGCGGUAGAGCAUCACUCUUAUAAAGUGGGGGUCCUUGGUUCGAAUCCAAGUGUGCCCA
rnacentral:tRNA from 1 species